rnacentral:rRNA from 1 species
GCAUGAAGUCGGAAUUGCUAGUAAUCGCGGAUCAGCAUGCCGCGGUGAAUACGUUCCCGGGCCUCGUACACACCGCCCGUCACACCAUGGGAGCCGGUAAUACCCGAAGUCAGUAGUCCAACCACGUGAGGACGCUGCCGAAGGUAGGAUUGGCGACUGGGGUGAAGUCGUAACAAGGUACC